rnacentral:misc_RNA from 1 species
CAACCCCCAAGCCCUAUUUGCUUGACGUUGGGAGAUUACGGCAACGUAACUCUUUAAAUAUAGUGGCGGAGCUAGGUCGUGCUCUAAGCGUAGUAAUUAUACCCUCGCUUUUGAAGCUGGCCUGCGUCCUGCCGUAAAACCCCCUAUUUUAUUCU